rnacentral:rRNA from 1 species
UUGACCUCAAAUCAGGUAGGACUACCCGCUGAACUUAAGCAUAUCAAUAAGCGGAGGAAAAGAAACUAACAAGGAUUCCCCUAGUAACUGCNAGUGAAGUGGGAAAAGCUCAAAUUUAAAAUCUGACNGUCUUUGACUGUCUGAGUUGUAACCUAGAGAAGUGCUACCUGUGCUGGACCAUGUAUAAGUCUCCUGGAAUGGAGUGUCAGAGAGGGUGANAAUCCCGUCCUUGACAUGGACUGCCAGUGCAUUGUGGUGUGCUCUCAAAGAGUCGAGUUGUU